rnacentral:rRNA from 1 species
GACGAACGCUGGCGGCGUGCUUAACACAUGCAAGUCGAACGGAAAGGCCCUGCUUUUGUGGGGUGCUCGAGUGGCGAACGGGUGAGUAACACGUGAGUAACCUGCCCUUGACUUUGGGAUAACUUCAGGAAACUGGGGCUAAUACCGGAUAGGAGCUCCUGCUGCAUGGUGGGGGUUGGAAAUUUUCGGCGGUUGGGGAUGGACUCGCGGCUUAUCAGCUUGUUGGUGGGGUAGUGGCUUACCAAGGCUUUGACGGGUAGCCGGCCUGAGAGGGUGACCGGCCACAGUGGGACUGAGAUACGGCCCAGACGCCUACGGGAGGAAGCAGUGGGGAAUAUUGCACAAUGGGCGGAAGCCUGAUGCAGCAACGCCGCGUGCGGGAUGACGGCCUUCGGGUUGUAAACCGCUUUCGCCUGUGACGAAGCGUGAGUGACGGUAAUGGGGAAAGAAGCACCGGCUAACUACGU